AAAAGCUAUUCAUGUGUUGCUUUUGGUCCCAUGAUUCAUAAUUGCUUUGAGGAAUAAAUAUGUUUGUGGUUAUACAGAAGAGAUUGCUGAAUGAAAAAAUUGUGAUUCAUUUGUAUAUAAAUGUAAAAGCUACUCUAGCUGAGUAAUUAAUGGUUUAUUUAAACAAUGGCACUUGACAGGUUCUGUGGCCAAGAACUUCUUCACCAAAUCAAAGCUUUCCAUUCCAGAACUCUCCUAUAUAUGGGAGCUUAGUGAUGCUGACUGUGAUGGAGCCCUGACCCUGCCUGAGUUCUGUGCUGCGUUUCAUCUCAUUGUGGCUCGGAAGAACGGCUACCCAUUGCCUGAGGGCCUCCCUCCAACUCUGCAGCCAGAAUACCUGCAGGCAGCUUUUCCUAAGCCCAAAUGGGACUGUCAAUUAUUUGAUUCUUAUUCUGAGUCACUGCCGGCAAAUCAACAACCUCGUGACUUGAAUCGGAUGGAGAAGACAUCUGUUAAAGACAUGGCUGACCUUCCUGUCCCUAACCAGGAUGUAACUAGUGAUGACAAACAAGCUUUGAAAAGUACUAUCAAUGAAGCCUUACCAAAGGACGUGUCUGAGGAUCCAGCUACCAAGUCAGGAUUGUUACCCCCACCACCUGCGCUCCCUCCAAG
rnacentral:lncRNA from 1 species